rnacentral:rRNA from 1 species
AUACGGAGGACGCGAGCGUUAUCCGGAUUCAUUGGGUUUAAAGGGUGCGCAGGCGGCCGUGCAAGUCAGCGGUGAAAGCCCGGGGCUCAACCCCGGAAGUGCCGUUGAUACUGCAUGGCUGGAAUGCGGUCGAGGCGGGCGGAACGGGGCGUGUAGCGGGGAAAUGCGUAGAUAUGCCACAGAACGCCGAUAGCGGAGGCAGCUCGCCAGGCCUGCAUUGACGCUCGGGCACGAAAGCGUGGGGAUCGAACAGGAUUAGAUACCCUGGUAGUCCACGCCAUAAACGAUGGGCGCUCGUCGUCGGCGGCAGACAGUCGGCGGCCAAGCGAAAGCGAUAAGCGCCCCACCUGGGGAGUACGGUCGCAAGGCUGAAACUCAAAUGAAUUGACGGGG